rnacentral:misc_RNA from 1 species
AAGUCGUAACAAGGUUUCCGUAGGUGAACCUGCGGAAGGAUCAUUAACACGUAUCCACGUAUCAACUAAAACCACGAACUGUUCUCCCCGUAGACAACCUAACUCUCCGCGCUGUUUUCCGAGCUUAUAAUGGGCUGCACUUCGGUGUGGCAGGGCUCUGACUGCUACUCCCUUUCGAGGGGAAGGCGUGGGUAUCUGGAUUGUCGGGCUUUAUUCUUCAUUCCGCUUGAAUGUACCCAUUUUUCCAUUCGCGGUUUGAUACAAACUAGUUUCACCCUAUGUUACCUAUUUGACUAAUUUCAUAUUCAUUGGGAGAAAUCCUUUUGAAUUCUAAGAUUUAUCUUAACUAAGCACAACUCUUAGCAAUGGAUAUCUUGGUUCUC